GGUCAGGCGGGAUUACCCGCUGAGUUU
rnacentral:snRNA from 1 species